GUGCUCACUUCAGCACAUAUACUAAAAUUGGAAUGAUACAGAGAAGAUUAGCAUGGUCCCUGCACAAGGAUGACAUGCAAAUUCAUGAAGCAUGCCAUAUUUUU
rnacentral:snRNA from 1 species